ACCUCAUUUUCUAGGGACAUACCCUAAACAAGUUUUCAGACAUGGUCACCACGAAUAAUUUGCCAUGAAGAAGAAUGUUCACUGCAACACUGCUUGAAAAGUAUAAAGGCUGUUUGCCCAGGAAGGGGAGCCAGAAGGUCCUGGUUUCCCCGUGAACAUAAAUCACUGUUUUGGCAGUCUACCAUGCUAUCCAUCAGACUAGCCUUUCAGAGAAAAAUGUCACAGGCAGCAGCCAUAAGCAGUUCCUAGGAGUCAUUAGACAGUCACUGAGGCAAAUCAUUUGAGAGAAGGUAAGCGAGCUCUUGACAUUCCUGGGACAGGAAGACCUGCCCUGGGAGACUCCUCUGGAGCGCCUCAGCUUCUCCUACCCUGGGGAAGGUAAUUGAUGAGUUAAUUAACAUGCACAGGAGAUGCAGCACUGUCAAAAGAAGACGGGCUGCUUCUGGUCGUCACCCACUAUCAUUACUAAGAUGAUCUCAGCCUUUCAACUUGAUUGGGAGAAACCCGUUUCCUGGGGGAAAUCUCAAUAAAAUUGUUUUCCUACCAUCAGGUGGCAAUCUUGUUAAGUGCUCCAAGGACCCUUGAUUUUAUGGGUUUAUUUUUCACAGCCCCCAGCAGCCUUGGCUAGGAUUUCAUUCUAAAAUAACAUUUUCUCUCUGUAAAAAAUGUGUUGUUGCUCCAGGCUCCAGGGCUUAGUGACCCUCAAGAGUUUUUGACUGCAUGAGACCGAGGGGUGAACUGGAGAUUUGCGAUUUAUGUCAAAUAUGCACACAGGGACACACGGUUUGAUCUGUCCUCUGUGCUUCCUCUUUUUUCCUGUAUUAUUCUCUUAGAAGAUGGGGUGAUGACUCCUGCUGUGACUACCAUCACAGUGCCCCCAUUCAACAGUUCACAAUUAGCAGUAGAUGUACAGCAAGUUUGUUUUUUUUUUUUUUCUUUUAAAUAGAUUUUAGUUUUUUUU